rnacentral:rRNA from 1 species
UACAGAGGGGGGCAAGCGUUAUUCGGAAUUAUUGGGCGUAAAGGGCGCGUAGGCGGCCUGACAAGUGGAAGGUGAAAUCCCUCGGCUUAACCGAGGAACUGCCCUCCAAACUGUCUGGCUUGAGACCGGGAGAGGUGAGUGGAAUUCCCAGUGUAGCGGUGAAAUGCGUAGAUAUUGGGAGGAACACCAGUGGCGAAGGCGGCUCACUGGACCGGUACUGACGCUGAGGCACGAAGGCGUGGGGAGCGAACGGG